UUUCCGUAGGUGAACCUGCGGAAGGAUCAUUACUGCAUCACCGAGGGAGGAGGGCUUGUGCUGACCCGAAAGGGCGUGCACGCGCGAGUGCGCUGGGACACAUCCAGCACACCCCUGUCAGGACCACCGCGCGGGUCCCGGUAUUGAUUGUGAGGAGGGGGGCUUACGCGUUCACACAAAGUAUGUAUGCAGUGUAGAAUGUAGUUUUUGUUUAUGCGAUCACGUAAUUAAUACAACUUGCAACAACGGAAAUCUGGGCUCAGGCAUGGAUGAAGAACG
rnacentral:misc_RNA from 1 species